rnacentral:lncRNA from 1 species
UGCUCUUUAGUCUAAAUGAUCCGGAUAUAAACCGCCACACGGGCAAUCCGCCACACAAAUGCAACCACAAAUAGAUCUUUAAACGCCACAAAUGCAAUCACACAUAAAUCUUCUCUGCCACUAAAUCAAUCACACAAGAUUUAUAUCCGCCACUAAGGCAUUGAUACCAUUCAUGUUAAAAAAAUAAAAAUAUAAUUCUACCACAUAGAAAACCC